rnacentral:rRNA from 1 species
GACUUGUGUGCGCCGGAUGCGGCGAUCUGCGGCCAAAAGGUCGUUGCGAUCAGCCCGUCCUGGCGCCGUAAAAUUUGCAACUGAGUCGCCUCUGGUCUUAAUUGGUCGGUGGCGUCUGCUCGGUUGCUCGUUUACUGUGAGAAAAUUGGAGUGUUCAAGGCAGGCGUGGAUUGCAACUGAACAUGUUAGCAUGGAAUAAUAAGAUAGGGCUCCGGCUCAUAUUUUGUUGGUUUCUAGAGCGUGGGAGUAAUGAUUGAUAGGGACAGUUGGGGGUGCUAGUAUUCAGCGGCCAGAGGUGAAAUUCAUGGAUUCGUUGAAGACUGACUUAUGCGAAAGCAUU